GUGACCUGCGCGGAAAGAAACGAAUGUUGUUGCUCCUCCGUCUCCUACUUUUUGACUGUUUAAUCGAGUUUUAAAGAUGACGAAGACAGGAAAACCGGACUCUUACUGGGCUGGUGUUAUGCAGCUGUAUGCUCAGGGCAAGUUCCGAUUUACCACCGGGAAGAGACCUGGAGCCAGAAGAUGGAAAUCUGUCAUCCAGCGGAUAGACACAUGCCCACUGACUCCUGCCUUCAACCAAAAAGUCAGGACAAUCGACAUAUUUGGGAAAAAAAUUCCCUGCAACUGUGGUUAUCAUACGAGCAAUGUUGUGAACAUUGUGGGAAAAAGGUCAUGGGUGCAGUUGGUUUGCUUCAUCAUAUUGAAGAAGGUCAUGAGCCACCAGGCAAAACAUCACCAUCUAUGCCAGACCAACAUCAAGCAUUUAAACUACAUGGGAUACCAGCAACUUCACCCCAUAAACCAGCAGCAUCUCCCCAGAA